ensembl:ncRNA C37A5.15 ncRNA
AAGAGCUUUCAAAUAAGUAUAAUCAUGCCUAGGUUUGGUUGAAUUUGACAAAAGUUGGGUCCCGCCACGAAAA